rnacentral:misc_RNA from 1 species
GAUGAAGAACGUAGCGAAAUGCGAUAAGUAAUGUGAAUUGCAGAAUUCAGUGAAUCAUCGAAUCUUUGAACGCAUCUUGCGCUCCUUGGUAUUCUGAGGAGCAUGCCUGUUUGAGUGUCAUUAAAUUCUCAACUACACUGACUUUGAAUUGGUGUGGCUUGGAUUUGGGGGGAAAAUUGUUGUGGGCUUUUUGUAUAGUUUGCUCCCCUGAAAUUGAUUAGCGGUACCUUUGUGGAACUGUCUACAGGUGUGAUAAUUAUCUACAUCUUAGACAUCUGCUGGAAUGCUGCUUUCUAAACCUUACUUGUAUUGACAAUCUUGACCUCAAAUCAGGUAGGACUACCCGCUGAACUUAAGCAUAUCAAUAAGCGGAGGA